rnacentral:snRNA from 1 species
GGAUGUGAGGGCGAUCUGGUUGUGACAUCUGUCACCCCACUGAUCACCAGGGUUGAUUCGGCUGAUCUGGCUGGCUAGGCGGGUGUCCCCUUCCUCCCUCACUGCUGUGCGCUCAGUCGAAGAGGACGACCUUCCCCAAAUAGAAACGGUCCCGUGCUAGAACCUCCAAACAAGCUCAAGGGGGAAAAUCAGGGCUGGACGGUGACACACUCUGCACUAGGAUGUGGGUUCAAUCCCACAGUUUCUAGCUGC